ensembl:lncRNA
GAGGUUAACAAAGACACACUCACAAUCAGAUGUGCACACAUACACACUAACAUUUGGUUCUAAACACAGACACGCUCUAACAUUAGGAUGUACACACAGACACAUUAACAUUUAGAUGUACACACAGACACAUUAACAUUUGGUUCUAAACAAAGACACACACUAAUAUUUAGAUGUACACAAAGACACAAUAACAAUUAGAUGUACACACAGACACACUAACAUUUAGAUGUACACACAGACACAUUAGUAUUCAGAAGUACACAAAAACACACAAACAUCUGGUUCUGCACAAAGACACAUUAAUAUUUAGAUGUACACACAGAUCCACUAACAAUUAGAUGUACACACAGACACAUCCUGAUGAUCCUCCUCACGUCUCUUCUCCUUGUCUGCAGACCAACAGGACGCCAUCAGGACGCCACGUCAACGGGACGCCAUCAGGACGCCAUCAGGACGCCAUCAGGACGUCAUGUCAACCCCUCAGGAGCAAAUCCAGAUCUACGCAUGACACACACACACACCCACACUCACACACACACAGAUCUACUCAGAGACACACAUAUUGUGAGAUGUACACACAGACACACUAACAUUUAGAUGUACACACAGACACACUAACAAUUAGAUGUAACACACAUACACACUAACAUUUGGUUAUAAACAAAGACACGCAUUAACAUAUAGAUGUACACAAAGACACAUUAAUAUUUAGAUGUACACACAGACACACUAACAUUUGGUUCUGCACAAAGACACAUUAAUAUUUAGAUGUACACACAGAUCCACUCCCAAUUAGAUGUACACACAG